CUCUAGAGAGACUGCCAGGGAUAACCUGGAGGAAGGUGGGGAUGACGUCAAAUCAUCAUGCCCCUUAUGCUUAGGGCUACACACGUGCUACAAUGGGUAGUACAGAGGGUUGCCAAGCCGUAAGGCGGAGCUAAUCCCUUAAAGCUACUCUCAGUUCGGAUUGUAGGCUGAAACUCGCCUACAUGAAGCUGGAGUUACUAGUAAUCGCAGAUCAGAAUGCUGCGGUGAAUGCGUUCCCGGGUCUUGUACACACCGCCCGUCACACCACGGGAGUUGGAG
rnacentral:rRNA from 1 species